GGGAAGUAUUCUAUCAAACAAACCUUUAUAUUUUGGUAGUAUCUAAUCUAUUUAGAGGAACUUGUCUAUUAAUCGAUAAUCCACGAUAUUUUUCACUUAAAUACAAAGCUUAUAUAUCGCCAUCUAAAGAACUAAUUUACAAAUCUUAUUCUUAAUAAAAAAUAAAAAGUUAGGUCAAGGUGUAGUCAACUUUUAAGAUAAAGAUGAGUUACUAUGAAAAUUAUUUAAGGAUAAAUUUUAAAAAUAAUAUUUGUAAAGGGGAUUUAACAGUAAAAAAUAUAUAAAAAUAAUUAUAUUUGAAUAAGAAUAAAGAUAUGC
rnacentral:rRNA from 1 species